AGAUUGAACGCUGGCGGCAGGCCUAACACAUGCAAGUCGAGCGGCAGCACGGGUACUUGUACCUGGUGGCGAGCGGCGGACGGGUGAGUAAUGCCUAGGAAUCUGCCUGGUAGUGGGGAUAACGCUCGGAAACGGACGCUAAUACCGCAUACGUCCUACGGGAGAAAGCAGGGGACCUUCGGGCCUUGCGCUAUCAGAUGAGCCUAGGUCGAUUAGCUAGUGGUGAGGUAAUGGCUCACCAAGGCGACGAUCCGUAACUGGUCUGAGAGGAUGAUCAGUCACACUGGAACUGAGACACGGUCCAGACUACGACGGGAGCACGCGAGGUGGGAAAUAGUUAGGACAAAGUGGGAACGAAAGCCGUAGAA
rnacentral:rRNA from 1 species